UGGGGAAUAUUGCACAAUGGGCGCAAGCCUGAUGCAGCCAUGCCGCGUGUGUGAAGAAGGCCUUCGGGUUGUAAAGCACUUUCAGCGAGGAGGAAGGGUAGUGUGUUAAUAGCACAUUGCAUUGACGUUACUCGCAGAAGAAGCACCGGCUAACUCCGUGCCAGCAGCCGCGGUAAUACGGAGGGUGCAAGCGUUAAUCGGAAUUACUGGGCGUAAAGCGCACGCAGGCGGUUUGUUAAGUCAGAUGUGAAAUCCCCGCGCUUAC
rnacentral:rRNA from 1 species